rnacentral:rRNA from 1 species
AUGGCCUCCGCCCAGCCCCUCCGCGCCAUCAGCCUCAAGGCGUUCGACGAGACGAGGGCCGGCGUCAAGGGCCUGGUGGACGCGGGCGUCACCGCCGUCCCGUCCAUCUUCCACCACCCGCCGGAGUCCCUCACCCACGGCGCAAGUCGACCUCAUCGCUUCACCGUGCCGGUCAUCAACCUGUCAUCCGCCGUGGGCACCACCACCACGCGGGCCGCGGUGGUCGCGCAGGUGAGGGCGGCCGCGGAGACGGUGGGCUUCUUCCAGGUGGUGGGCCACGGCGUGCCGGAGGCGGCCACGUCGGCGAUGCUGGCGGCGGUGCGGGGCUUCAUCGAGGAGCCCGUGGAGGCCAAGGCGCCGUACUACACGCGGGACACCGGCCGGCGUGUGCGGUACCAGAGCAACCUCGACCUGUUCCAGUCGACGGCGGCCAAUUGGCGCGACACGCUCUUCAUGGAGAUGCCGCCGGCGCCCGAGGAGCUCCCGGCGGCGUGCAGGCGCGUCGCGCCGGAGUACGCGCGGCUGGUGCAGCGGCGGCUGGGCCGCGCGCUGCUGGGGCUGCUGUCGGAGGCGCUGGGCCUCCGCCCCGGCCACCUGGAGGAGGAGCACGGCCUCGCCUGCCACUACUACCCGGCCUGCCCGGAGCCGCAGCUCACCCUCGGCACCCCGCGGCACACCGACGCCAGCUUCCUCACCGUGCUGCUCCAGGACGCCGUCGGCGGCCUCCAGGUGCUCGUCGACCUCGAGGACAAGGCGGUGUGGGUGGACGUGCCGCCGGUGGCCGGGGCGCUGGUGGUGAACGUGGGCGACUUCCUGCAGCUCAUGUCCAACGACAGGUUCAGGAGCGUCGAGCACCGCGUGGUGUCCAACGGCGUGGGGCCACGGGUCUCGGUGGCGUGCUUCUUCCGGACGGACCGCGCCGCCGCGCCGACGAGGGUGCUGGCGCCGAUCGUCGCCGACGGCGACGAGGCGCGGUACAGGAGCACGACGGUGGAGGAGGUCGUCCGGCAGUACUACAAGGUCAAGGGCCUCGCCGGCAUCUCUGCACUGCAGCACUUCAGACUCUGA